rnacentral:rRNA from 1 species
ACGCUAGCUACAGGCUUAACACAUGCAAGUCGAGGGGCAGCGGGAUUGAAGCUUGCUUCAAUUGCCGGCGACCGGCGCACGGGUGAGUAACGCGUAUCCAACCUUCCGUACACUCAGGGAUAGCCUUUCGAAAGAAAGAUUAAUACCUGAUGGUAUGAUGAGAUUGCAUGAUAGCAUCAUUAAAGAUUUAUCGGUGUACGAUGGGGAUGCGUUCCAUUAGGUAGUAGGCGGGGUAACGGCCCACCUAGCCAACGAUGGAUAGGGGUUCUGAGAGGAAGGUCCCCCACAUUGGAACUGAGACACGGUCCAAACUCCUACGGGAGGCAGCAGUGAGGAAUAUUGGUCAAUGGACGAGAGUCUGAACCAGCCAAGUAGCGUGAAGGAUGAAGGUCCUACGGAUUGUAAACUUCUUUUAUAAGGGAAUAAACCCUCCCACGUGUGGGAGCUUGUAUGUACCUUAUGAAUAAGCAUCGGCUAACUCCGUGCCAGCAGCCGCGGUAAUACGGAGGAUGCGAGCGUUAUCCGGAUUUAUUGGGUUUAAAGGGAGCGCAGACGGGUCGUUAAGUCAGCUGUGAAAGUUUGGGGCUCAACCUUAAAAUUGCAGUUGAUACUGGCGUCCUUGAGUGCGGUUGAGGUGUGCGGAAUUCGUGGUGUAGCGGUGAAAUGCUUAGAUAUCACGAAGAACUCCGAUUG